UACAGAGGUCUCAAGCGUUGUUCGGAUUCAUUGGGCGUAAAGGGUGCGUAGGUGGCGAGGUUAGUCAGGUGUGAAAUCUCGGGGCUCAACCCCGAAACUGCACUUGAUACUGCCUUGCUAGAGUACUGGAGAGGAGAUUGGAAUUUACGGUGUAGCAGUGAAAUGCGUAGAUAUCGAGUGGAACACCAGUGGCGAAGGCGAAUCCCUGGAAAAUACCUGACACUGAGGCACGAAAGCUAGGGGAGCAAACAGG
rnacentral:rRNA from 1 species